AGUGAACGCUGGCGGUAGGCCUAACACAUGCAAGUCGAACGGCAGCACAGUAAGAGCUUGCUCUUACGGGUGGCGAGUGGCGGACGGGUGAGGAAUACAUCGGAAUCUACUUUUUCGUGGGGGAUAACGUAGGGAAACUUACGCUAAUACCGCAUACGACCUACGGGUGAAAGCAGGGGAUCUUCGGACCUUGCGCGACUGAAUGAGCCGAUGUCGGAUUAGCUAGUUGGCGGGGUAAAGGCCCACCAAGGCGACGAUCCGUAGCUGGUCUGAGAGGAUGAGCAGCCACACUGGAACGGAGACACGGUCCAGACUCCUACGGGAGGCAGCAGUGGGGAAUAUUGGACAAUGGGCGCAAGCCUGAUCCAGCCAUACCGCGUGGGUGAAGAAGGCCUUCGGGUUGUAAAGCCCUUUUGUUGGGAAAGAAAAGCAGCAGGUUAAUACCCCGCUGUUCUGACGGUACCCAAAGAAUAAGCACCGGCUAACUUCGUG
rnacentral:rRNA from 1 species